rnacentral:rRNA from 1 species
UACGUAGGGUGCGAGCGUUGUCCGGAAUUAUUGGGCGUAAAGGGCUCGUAGGCGGUUUGUCGCGUCGGGAGUGAAAACGCCGUGCUUAACACGGCGCUUGCUUUCGAUACGGGCAGACUAGAGGUAUGCAGGGGAGAACGGAAUUCCUGGUGUAGCGGUGAAAUGCGCAGAUAUCAGGAGGGACACCGGUGGCGAAGGCGGGUCUCUGGGCCGUAACUGACGCUGAGGAGCGAAAGCGUGGGGAGCGAACAGG